rnacentral:sRNA from 1 species
GACUAGUCCAGAUUGCAAUGGAAAGCAUUUUUUGGUAAAAACCUAUUUUUUGUUGGUAUAAAAAAGCGACCAACGGAAGCUCUUUUUAUGGCUUACAAAAAAAGGUUUUUGCAAAAAAUCUUGGAAUGGAAAGCUGGAAAUAGC